AAAAAAAUCAUCCUGAUUCGAAAUUCUUUCGCUGGGUUAGGAGACCUGUUGGGAGACGAUGCUUCCCUCCGGCAGGACCCCCUCCGGCGAGUCCUCCUCCGAGCGUUUCGGGAAGGGCCGGCGAGUGGCGUUCCGGGCAGGGCCAGCGAGCGGCGCUUCUGAUUUGUCUCCGGCCAACAGUGUCAGUCCUCCGAGCAUUCCCCAUCGACGUCAUACUAGAUCUAAUUCCAAGAUUGGGCUGGGUUUGCCAAGCAAACAAAGGAGGGGACAAGGAAGUGGCUCAUUUGUCUGUCUCCUCCAAGAUCAGCACAUCAUUUCAAGGAAGUAGGAGAGGUAAUGAGGUAGUGGCAUCUUGCCUGCAGCUGCUGAUUCCCCUUGAGUCGUACUGUCCAGAUUUUGGCCUUGAAGAAAUUGCGAGGUUUGCUGGUGGCAGUAAAGACUUAUGCAUGUUCCAACAAAAAAAGACUGUUGUUUGGAGUCGUAGUAGUGCACUGAUACGUUCUUCUGCUUGUGUACUCGAGUUGUCUGCUCAUUGUCUGAUGUAUAAGUGUGAGAAUUUUACUAUGGCUGUUCAGUUAGUGAUAGGUCUAUCUUGUAGUAAAAUUCCCUAGCAUAAUGCGGUUGGAACAUUUGCCUAAUGUAUGUGUUGUUGAAGUGAUGCAUUACUGCAAGUGAA